rnacentral:rRNA from 1 species
AUGAACGCUAGCGGCAGGCCUAACACAUGCAAGUCGAGGGGCAUCGGGAUUGAAGCUUGCUUCAAUUGCCGGCGACCGGCGCACGGGUGCGUAACGCGUAUGUAACCUACCUAUAACAGGGGCAUAACACUGAGAAAUUGGUACUAAUUCCCCAUAAUAUUCGGAGAGGCAUCUCUCCGGGUUGAAAACUCCGGUGGUUAUAGAUGGACAUGCGUUGUAUUAGCUAGUUGGUGAGGUAACGGCUCACCAAGGCAACGAUACAUAGGGGGACUGAGAGGUUAACCCCCCACACUGGUACUGAGACACGGACCAGACUCCUACGGGAGGCAGCAGUGAGGAAUAUUGGUCAAUGGACGCAAGUCUGAACCAGCCAUGCCGCGUGCAGGAAGACGGCUCUAUGAGUUGUAAACUGCUUUUGUACGAGGGUAAACUCACCUACGUGUAGGUGACUGAAAGUAUCGUACGAAUAAGGAUCGGCUAACUCCGUGCCAGCAGCCGCGGUAAUACGGAGGAUUCAAGCGUUAUCCGGAUUUAUUGGGUUUAAAGGGUGCGUAGGCGGUUUGAUAAGUUAGAGGUGAAAUCCCGGGGCUUAACUCCGGAACUGCCUCUAAUACUGUUAGACUAGAGAGUAGUUGCGGUAGGCGGAAUGUAUGGUGUAGCGGUGAAAUGCUUAGAGAUCAUACAGAACACCGAUUGCGAAGGCAGCUUACCAAACUAUAUCUGACGUUGAGGCACGAAAGCGUGGGGAGCAAACAGGAUUAGAUACCCUGGUAGUCCACGCAGUAAACGAUGAUAACUCGUUGUCGGCGAUACACAGUCGGUGACUAAGCGAAAGCGAUAAGUUAUCCACCUGGGGAGUACGUUCGCAAGAAUGAAACUCAAAGGAAUUGACGGGGGCCCGCACAAGCGGUGGAGUAUGUGGUUUAAUUCGACGCAACGCGAAGAACCUUACCAGGUCUUGACAUUGAUCGCGAUCUGCAGAAAUGCGGAGUUCUUCUUCGGAAGACGAGAAAACAGGUGGUGCACGGCUGUCGUCAGCUCGUGUCGUGAGAUGUUGGGUUAAGUCCCGCAACGAGCGCAACCCUUAUUGCCAGUUACUACGUUAAGAGGACUCUGGCGAGACUGCCGUUGACAAAACGGAGGAAGGUGGGGAUGACGUCAAAUCAUCAUGCCCUUUAUGUCCUGGGCUACACACGUACUACAAUGGCUAUAACAAAGAGAAGCGAGACAGUGAUGUGGAGCAAAACUCAAAAAAAUAGUCUCAGUUCGGAUUGAAGGCUGAAAUUCGCCUUCAUGAAGCUGGAAUUGCUAGUAAUGGCAGGUCAGCAUACUGCCGUGAAUACGUUCCCGGGCCUUGUACACACCGCCCGUCACACCAUGGGAGUCAGUAACGCCCGAAGUCAGUGACCCAACCGUAAGGAGGGAGCUGCCGAAGGUGGGACCGAUAACUGGGGUG